GCGAGCCGGAUGCAUAACGAAAGGUGCACGUCCGGUUCUGCGAGGGGUGGUGAGAAACGGGCCGCUGAAAGGCGGCACCGCGCUCGCCACCUACUCUAC
rnacentral:ncRNA from 1 species